rnacentral:rRNA from 1 species
AGAGGGGGAUCUUCGGGCCUCUUGCCAUCGGAUGUGCCCAGAUGGGAUUAGCUAGUAGGUGGGGUAACGGCUCACCUAGGCGACGAUCCCUAGCUGGUCUGAGAGGAUGACCAGCCACACUGGAACUGAGACACGGUCCAGACUCCUACGGGAGGCAGCAGUGGGGAAUAUUGCACAAUGGGCGCAAGCCUGAUGCAGCCAUGCCGCGUGUAUGAAGAAGGCCUUCGGGUUGUAAAGUACUUUCAGCGGGGAGGAA